UAAUACGGAGGGUGCAAGCGUUAAUCGGAAUUACUGGGCGUAAAGCGCACGCAGGCGGUUUGUUAAGUCAGAUGUGAAAUCCCCGGGCUCAACCUGGGAACUGCAUUUGAAACUGGCAAGCUAGAGUCUCGUAGAGGGGGGUAGAAUUCCAGGUGUAGCGGUGAAAUGCGUAGAGAUCUGGAGGAAUACCGGUGGCGAAGGCGGCCCCCUGGACGAAGACUGACGCUCAGGUGCGAAAGCGUGGGGAGCAAACAGGAUUAGAUACCCUGGUAGUCCACGCUGUAAACGAUGUCGAUUUGGAGGUUGUGCCCUUGAGGCGUGGCUUCCGGAGCUAACGCAUUAAGCUUCCCGCCUGGGGAGUACGGUCGCAAGAUUA
rnacentral:rRNA from 1 species